UACGUAGGGGGCAAGCGUUAUCCGGAUUUAUUGGGUUUAAAGGGAGCGUAGGCGGGUUGUUAAGUCAGUUGUGAAAGUUUGCGGCUCAACCGUAAAAUUGCAGUUGAUACUGGCAUCCUUGAGUACAGUAGAGGUAGGCGGAAUUCGUGGUGUAGCGGUGAAAUGCUUAGAUAUCACGAAGAACUCCGAUUGCGAAGGCAGCCUGCUGGACUGUAACUGACGCUGAUGCUCGAAAGUGUGGGUAUCAAACAGG
rnacentral:rRNA from 1 species